GAUGUAAAAUGUAAAACUAAGCUGGUAGGUCACAGGCCGAAGGAGGAUAUUCACAUAAUUUCUGUUUUUUAUUAUUUGGUGGGUGUGUGUCCUGUACUUAGUUUUAUUCCGAAUUAGAUGUAAUAUGCCUUUUGCUGUGUUAUGAUAUUAAAUUAAAUUGGUGCAGGACAGGCUUGUAGGUCUUACUGAUUCCUCCAGCUGCUACAGACGAUCAGAGCAUGAGGAUGGAGAGACCAGCAAGUGUUGAGUCAGAGAAGGUCAGCUGGAGCUGGACUGGAGUUCUGUUUGGCUUUAGUGGCUUCCUGGAUGGAGACAUCGGCUGACCUAAACGCAUCAUUUUCCCUCUCCCAUUAUAAACUUUGCUUUUCUUCAACAUGGAAAAUACUCCUACAUCAGUAGCUCUGUUUAUUUUGACAUCAAUCCUUACCUGGCGGCCAAUUGAUCCUCUUAACCACUGAAUGUAUCGGAACCACCUGGACUGAGCUGGUUUCGUCAGAGGGAGCCAAGACUUCUCCAUAAAAUGACUUCCCAUAUUUUAAGAUGUUCUUCUGGUAAAAUUGCAUCUUUAUGAUCCUAAAGAUGCAUUCUCAUAAUUAAAAAUACUUGUAAAAAAAAAAAAUACUUGUAACCUGGCCAUAACACUCCAUUAUACAACUCACAAGAGGAAUGACAGAAAUAAAGCCACUUUGUGAAAGUAUUUUCUGUAUUUUGUUUUAGAAAAGAUGAAAUAUUACUUGAAAGCGUUUAAUUUUAAUAUCUCGCUUGAAGGCCGAAUUACAUGCAAAUACUUCACAUAAUGUUACAACUGAGAUAAGGGAAAAAGGUUUGUAAAAUGUAGAGUAUUACAAAAGAGAUUACAUUUUAUUUUAAGUCCAAACAGUAUAACAAAAUGAACACUGAAAAUAUAUAAUACACUUUCCAGCAGUUACUCAAACUUGUUUGUCUUUACUGGUGAUGAAAACUUGUCACUCUGGAGGUGAGAGGAAGAGCAGCUCAGCCCAGUCCAGGAUCACUGCAGUGUCAGGGUAGCUGCUUAAAAUCUGCAGGUAGAUUUUUGCGUAGCUGGUCCUCCGGUUUUCAGAUCCUAAUUGUAAAUAAAAAGUUAUUGAAUGUUGUGAUGAUCCAGCUGACUGUGGACUGAUGGUCACUGUACUGGUCAGCGAGGUGCAGGUGCUUGGAUCCAAGGGAAAAGCAAUUUAACAACAGGAAGGUCUCAAGGGGUCGAUGGAGUGGAGUUGAUACGAGUUCCUCUCUGUCCUGGGUGAACAUCAUGGAGAGUCUCAAUCAUGGCUCAGAAACG